rnacentral:lncRNA from 1 species
UUGAUAAAGUGCUUGCUCGUGAGCAUGAGGACCUGAGUUCAGAUCCCCAGUGCAUACUUACAAAGACCUAAGCCGUAUUGUUUGCCUGUAAUUCCAGUGCUAGGGUGGCAGAAAUAAAAGGAUACUGAGGAUUUACCAGUUAGCCAGCGUAGCUUAUCAACAUUUCAGGUUCAAUAAGAGACCUGUUACAAAAUAAGUGAACAAAAUAGAGGAAGAUACCCAACAUUAAUCUCUGGAACACACACAACUAUUUAAAAUUUAAAAUUUUAUUUUAAAUUAUAUAUAUCUUUGGUUUGUGUUUGUGUAUUGUCUUAGUUAAGGUUUAUUUGCUGAGAAGAGACACCAUGACCAUGGCAAGUCUUAGAAAAGAAAACAUUUGAUUGGAGCUGACUUAGUCUCAGAGGUUCAGUCAUUACUAUGGCAGGAAGCAUGGUAGCACACGGACAGACAUGGUGCUAGAAGAAGAAGCUUUGAGAGUUCUGCAUCUUGAUCCAUAGCCAGCAGAAGUGACUGUGAGCCACACUGAGCAUAGUUUGAGCAUAGGAGACCUCUAAACCCUCCCCACAGUGACACACUAUUUCCACCAAGACCAUACCUACUCUAACAAGACCACAUCUCCUAAUAGUGCUCCUCCCUAUGGUCUUUCAGGGCCAUACUUACUCAAACCACCACAGAUCAUACAUGUGAGUGUAGAUGCUCACAGAGGCCAGCAGGAAGAUACUGUGUCCCUUGGAGCUGGAGUUAAAGGUAAAUUACCUGACAUGGAUGCUGGGAAUUCAACUCAGAUGCUCAAGGGAAGAACCUCAUCUCUGAAAGUUUCUCCUCAUAGCAGGCCCAGUUUAAAAUUAGUUUCUUUUUCCCACUCCUCAGAAGAACUGUAUUAGCAACUACACCAAGGGUACUAUGGUUUGUAGCUUCUGCCAUACCAUGUAGUUUAGACUCAUGUUUCUCUCUUGUAUUUGUUUUGAUCUCGAUGGUGGUGCAGUCCUGCUUUUACUAACUAACCCUGGAUCUGGCUCAUUCUUCCGUGGACAUUGUCAUAGCACAUGGCCCAAGUGGUGUUACCAAGAUAGAUUGCUGGCAUCGAGCAUUUGUCUCUUAUUGCAUAGGCAGUAAUGGUUAGCAAAAUGGUGCUUUGUGUAUGUCCAUCACAGAUGGAGUGCCCAUCUCAGUGACUCAAUCCUUUAGCCCACCACACAGAAACCACUAUACACUCAUGGGAGCCCAGCUAAGAAUCAGAGCUAUCCCCACCCAAAGCAGGCUUAGCUUGUUUCUUUAAAGCACAGUGGUGGGGUGAGGAGCUUUCCAGAUCUGCUGCCAAUUUUAAUGUUGGCAUUUUGUGACACCUACUGAUGUUGCUGCUUUACCUGUGAAUAUCUUUAUUUCAGACAUGGUAAGAAAUUUCAUUUUUCUCCUUAAUAAAAUACCUCUCCAUGCGAUUUUUAGCAGUAUCACAAACUUGUUUUACAUAUUUCUGGUAUGUUUAAUGUAAGAGCUGAACCUAUGAAACUGUUAGAGGAAAAAAGUAAGGAAAAUACUUCAAGAAAUAGGCACAUGCAAGAACUUUUUGAGUGGGACUCCCUUCACUAGGAAAUAUUAAGACCAACAUUGACAAACAGGUUCUCAUGUAAUUAAAAGCCUUCUAUACAGCAAAGGAGGCAGCUAAUUGUGUGAAGAGACAGCCUACAGAAUGGGAGGAUAGAAGACCAAUAUCUGGAAUGU